ACGGAGGAUGCGAGCGUUAUCCGGAUUUAUUGGGUUUAAAGGGAGCGCAGACGGGAGAUUAAGUCAGUUGUGAAAGUUUGCGGCUCAACCGUAAAAUUGCAGUUGAUACUGGUUUCCUUGAGUGCAGUUGAGGCAGGCGGAAUUCGUGGUGUAGCGGUGAAAUGCUUAGAUAUCACGAAGAACCCCGAUUGCGAAGGCUGCUUGCUAAACUGUAACUGACGUUCAUGCUCGAAAGUGUGGGUAUCAAACAG
rnacentral:rRNA from 1 species